rnacentral:lncRNA from 1 species
GAAAAGUCUUGCAUCUCACUCAUCGCAAUAUCUGCGGCGCUGCUCGUGGCAACGUCAUUUCGCUGGGUGUACCUUUAACAUAUUGUAACGAAACAGCAGGGAGCAAGUCUCGAACCCUCAACCUUCUAGCCCGAAGUCCAGCGCGCUAUCGACUGUGCCCCAAAAGCAUGCUCGAGUGGCGGAGUCGAUACCCGGGGUUAUAAACCCAGGGUCGUUACAAUAUGUAUAGAAGUUGUUUAUAAGGAGACCUACUGUAGUUAUGAAUGUUAAAAACACCUGCAAAUACAAACUAAUCAACAUGAUGGGCUAUCUGUAUAAUUUGUCCAUUAAACUUAAUAUAACAUUACUAACUUCCUGGCCAUCACUCCUGCAGUACCAGUGUCCAGGUAUGGCAUCUCUCCUGGACCAGGCUAGCCUGAUAAAGACAGCUGCUAUAGAGAAGGUGGUGGCCCCCAUCGCAGUCCACCUGGUCCACUUGGUCCUGCUGUGUGAGAGGGCAGAGGGGCUGGAGGGACCAGAGCAGUUCACCCAGCUAGAGGGAGAAGCACAGGCUGUGGCCAGAGCCACCAAGAACAUGGCCAUCGUUGCCUACAGGUGGUGGGACCCUGCAUUCCAAUUCACUCUAUCCUUUCUCUUAAAAAGCCACAGAUGAUGAGGUAAUGAGGACAGAGAUGUCAUCCCUAGUGGAGCCGAUGACUGUGUCUGGACAGCAUGUCCUCCUGGCAGCCCAGAAACUCAGUAUCCAGCCCAGCCUUGCCGAGCACAGAGAGGAGCUUAUCACUGCAACACAGAAUGUUCUGCUAGGAGUGGUCAAAAUACUUUCAGUGGAAGAUGAUGCAACAGUGAGAAAGGUCGUAGUGGCUGCAGACUGGGUGUUGGACUGCCUAUCCUCUCUAGCUUCCUCCCUGGACAUCCUGUCUCUACUGAAGGCCUUCCAUCGGUUCACUGAGGCCCUGGUUCUCCUGAACAACCUGGUAGUGGAGCGGGCUGAAGCCCUGCAGGAUCCUAGGCAGACGGAGCACUUGCACAACUCUUUGGACUCCUUGAGGAAAUGCAUCUCUAUGCUUCACACGGCUAUGGUCACCACUAUCAAACACCCAACCAGUGAGCAGGCCCAAGUCGCCAAAACGUACAUUCUGGACAAGAUCACACAUUUGUGGUGAUCCAGCACUUUAGAGUGUUAAGAGAAGGGCUGGAUGGACAGCAACAUCCACACCUCCUCAGUCCACUGCGAGAGGAUGCACGCCAGAGCAUAGUCUCAUCCUCAGUCCAAGCAACCAAUCAGAUUCAAGGAUCAGCUAUGGAUCAGGAAAUAAGAGACCUUGGCCUUCAGUUUCCUGUUCUAGAUGUUUCAGAAAGGGAUUCACCAGUUGAAUGUAAAGUUGAGUUCUCAGAAAAAGAAAUUAGAGAGCCUAUGAUGGCAGACAAUGACUUCAAUGAUGAUUUAAAGUGGCCAGCUGUUUCAGGUGAAGCGAAUCCAAUCCCAAAGCCUCUUGAUUUCGACCUUUUGCCCCUCUUGUAUGAGGUUGUGACUGUGACUAAAGAAAAAGAUGUAACGGUCCUCAGCAAAGCCUGUACAGGAGUUCUCAAGCUUUCAAAUUGUUACGCUCAGGCUGCGAAAGAAGCUUCAACUAUUGUUGACGCUGUCGAUAGUCAGACAUUGGAUAUCUUCAGAUCAGAGUUAGUGGCCCUGACGCCUCAGUUAGUCCAGACAGCUCAGGAGACUGUGAUGAGCUUAGCUAUGAGCACGGACAGUCUCUACAAACACAGUUUACUGUUCUCUGACCUGAUCAACAACAUCAGGAAAGUCCUCUUACCAGCUGCUGGAACCUGGUACCACGCCGUUUAUUCACUGUUUCAAGGUCGUCCACGAAACAUGGCCGCCACUGCUAUUUCUCAGGAACUCAGCAAAGUCAUGAGUUUGUGUGCCGAUGUGGUGCAGCUGUUGACGUCGUCUGAUAUAACGCCACCAAGUGACUGUCAGGAGAGCUUUACAGUUUUGCACAGCAAGCUGAACAAAGCCCAUAACAACACAAGACAGCUGACAGAACUUGCUAGCUCAUCAACAUCAGGUCAGGCAGAUCAACUUGAGGGGCCUUGUAUUCUGUGGGCACUGUCAGUCCAAGUUUUACUGAAUUCUUUGGAUAAGAUUUUAGGAACAAGGGAAACGUUGAUGAGACAGUUGACCCCUCAGAAAGGGUUGGCAGCCAUGUCCGAGAACUCACUGCGAAUCCAAGAGGCAGCGAGACUGACUAGCGUGAAUUGUAAAAGCACCUACAAAGUGAAAACAUUGACACAACUUCAGGAGGAAUUAAAGGCUCUCACUGAGGAAUACUUACAGGUAGCUGAAGACCUCUGCAUUGUAUCUCUCUCAGGCGUCCUCCAGUUUGCCAGGUCAGAACUUCUACAAAGACAGCUUCUGAUUAAAAUGAGGGUGCUAUCCGGCCACUUGAACAAAGCAAAUAAGGACUAUGCCACCGCAAUUCAAAACGUCGUAAACAUUGCUUAUACGGCUUCCAAGCACCACAAAGAUGAUAAGACAUCCAAGGAGGCCCAAGAAACAUUUGAGACUGCUGCAGAGUUGCUUUUCGAGAACGCCAAAGCUGCUACCAAGAGCGUUGAAGACUGUUUCAACUACAUUCGCAACCCUCGUGCCCGGAUUAACCUGAGGUCCAUCAACGAUCAUCUGUCCUUCCAGAUCUCGGAUAUAGUGAGCCGAGCCAGGCUGGUAGUGGAGACCCACUGUAUCUUCGACACUCUCAGUCUGGAGAUACAGAUACAGUGCUGGUCGGCCAAGGCUCGCUUUUUAGCCGAGGAGAUCUAUAAAGUGGAUGGGCUAAGCCAGGAGGCUAAGGAACACGUCAAGGUUGGUCUGCAGGGUGGAACACCAGGAGAUUCCAAAGAAGGGAUGACUGAGAGCAAUCUUUCUCCUACUCUGAAGAAGCUUGAAUACCAACCAGACAUUGCACCCUGGCAGACAACCAAUCCAGAGAAUAUAAAUACCACAGAACAGAAUUCCAGUAUCUGUGGUGCAACGCCCAAAUAUGAACCUGCGAUGGCAACAAAACAAUAUGAUGCCCCAAGGUCUGCAUUCUUCAGAGACACCCUAUCCCUGACUUACACCCCUUCCCUCACCUACACCACAAUCACCCCAUCUCUUACCUACACCGCCUUGUUCCUCAAACAAGAGACAGACAGGUGGGACGCUCGGAGCAACCGUAUCGUUCAGGUUACCAGGGAGAUUGCAGACCAGAUCUACCACAUGGCCCAGUACCUGAGGAGGAAAGGGCCCAUACUGAGCAAAGAGAUGUUUGUCAGCACAGCAAAAGGCGUGGUCUCGAAUUGCCAAUACAUCACCCACUUUGUGAAGGUCAUAUCAAACCACUGUCUGGACAAACAGUGUACUGCUGAACUGUCUCUCAGAGUGGAACAGAUUCUCACCAUCACCAACCAACUCACUAUCAUCUCCAGUGUUAAUGCAUUGACCCCUGGAAGCAAGUCUUCAGAUGAGAUCCUUGUGAAGAAUGCCCAGAACCUGCUUCAGAUAGUUCUGCAUGGGGUCAGAGCAGCAGAGACAGCCUGCAUCAAGGGAUUGAAACAGCCGGAGCCCAACUCAGAUGGGGUGGAGGCAGCAGCGCUCUGUUUCCAGUGGAAGAGGAACCUACAAAUGCACCGAGCCCAGCAGAACUGUAACUCAGACACGGAUGAUCUUGGCCUGAGGAGAACCUCCCAGCACAGAGAAUCCCCCAGCCUGGCCCCUCCUAUACACAUACAAAAGCAGGGAUUCAAGUGAACGUGUCAAACCCCAUGGACUGGACACCAGGAACUACUUGUUGCUACCAUGUAAACAUAUGGAUCAUGUCCACGGGACACACAACUUUGGGGAAAUGUAAUGAAAUAAGUGUCAGCACUUUGUUCCUAUGACAACAGUUUUGUGACCACAUUUCAUAAAAUACUAGAUAUGUUAGCAAGCACAUGAUGUGCAAUGCAUUACACUUCACAUAAAUGUUUGGCUGUAAAGGCUAUUUUGAAAAUAAUACCAAAAAGUUUAAUAUCAAGAAAUGUGUAUUUGAAAUAUUUUGGACAUCAGAGCAAUCUUGAGGGAAUCGUAUUUGUGUCAGAAAAGGAUGUUCAUAUGAUAGGUAAGAUAUACAAAACCUUGCAGAGAGCCUAUCCAACUGACAAUCUCUGACAAAAAAUAUAUAAACUAUUGGAACCAAGACUUAAAAAUAACUGCUAUUGGUAUAAGAUUGAGGGAAUGUUG